UUUGGGGUAGUAGAAUUGGUAAAAUUAUAUGUGGCUCAAACCCACAAGGUGGCGUUAGCCCCUCAAGG
rnacentral:tRNA from 1 species